AUGCUUGUUAGCACUAGCCUCUCCUUAUUUAGUUGGCCGGUUGGAAGUGAUACUUGGUCCGAACUCCAGUGUUCUGGUGUACAAAUAAUUCAGAUUGUGGAAUUCAAGGACCAAUUCAUUGCCAUGGAUCUUCGUCAACAGGUAUACACUUUGGAGAUGGCCCCCAAGCUUAGACUGCAGGAAAUAUCCACUAACCGCCCCCCUGACUUGACCAAGAGUUGCCAAGACCCAUCUAAAAUAUCAUGGCUAGUGGUCUGCGGUGACAUGCUUCUGAUGUUGGUCCAUUCUUGCACGAGUAUUCAGUACAAUGCCAGUGUGCCAUUUAUCCGCACGGUCCAUUACCUUGACAUGUCAACCAAGCCUGCAAAAUGGGUGGAUAUGGAAAAGCUGGACAAUUGGGCCAUCUUCACGGGGAGUGAUAUCAGGAGUACGUCAUUUUCUUGCAUGAACCCAGAACAUUGGGGAGGAAGGAGCAAAUGUCUAUAUGUUGCUCGUUCCCCUAAACCUUGGAGUGAAUAUGGGUUAAGCAACGAGCCAGAUCCAUCUGUUGAUCCCGUCCAUCAGCACUUCAGGAUGAUGCAACCCCUUUGGGUGUACCCGAGCAUGCUCUAUUCGAAUGGCCCUUGA
rnacentral:rRNA from 1 species